rnacentral:misc_RNA from 1 species
AUCUCAGAAUAGGAUAGAUCUACAGGUGUAGACGUUACAUGGACUCCGAAAAAUGUUCCAGUGUUGCGAUAGAUCAUCUUCACUGUGGAGUUCACUGCGAUCAUAUCAGUUGCCACUCCUGUGUAAUCUGAGCCGGCUUGAAUGCUGAAAUGCUCAAAAGUUAUACUCUUCAUCGUGAUCUUGGGCUUCUGUGGCCUGCUGGCACCCCAGAGAAUUAAAGAGAACAUAGAGAAGAGAACAAAGAAACCCGACACAAAAAUAAGAAAGUAGCAGCGACGAGGUAGACCCCUUUCACGCUCGUCAUCUUCGAGAAGUCCUUCUUCUUCAAUCAUCACACAGUCUUUCCAUUGCUUCUGUCCCUUUUUCUGCCCGCCUUUCGACGCAUCAUUGGGAGAAAUCUUCCGGGAUCCCGGUUUCAACGACCCAGAAAACCUGCUGGUAGAGGACUCACGCGAGUGGCGGCCAACAGAGGAGUGAGAAUGAGGUGGAGAUCCCGCAGGGCUAAGCACCGGCGUGGAAUGGAAAGACAUCGUCGUUUUCUCCCCAUCGUGAGAGUCCCGUGAUGGGCUCUGUACAUAAUAGACCGGGCGGCGUGGAGAUCUAGUGGGAGACGAUGGUGCUAGACUGG